GAUGAACGCUGGCGGCGUGCCUAAUACAUGCAAGUCGAGCGAACAGACGAGGAGCUUGCUCCUCUGACGUUAGCGGCGGACGGGUGAGUAACACGUGGAUAACCUACCUAUAAGACUGGGAUAACUUCGGGAAACCGGAGCUAAUACCGGAUAAUAUAUUGAACCGCAUGGUUCAAUAGUGAAAGACGGUUUUGCUGUCACUUAUAGAUGGAUCCGCGCCGCAUUAGCUAGUUGGUAAGGUAACGGCUUACCAAGGCAACGAUGCGUAGCCGACCUGAGAGGGUGAUCGGCCACACUGGAACUGAGACACGAUCCAGACUCCUACGGGAGGCAGCAGUAGGGAAUCUUCCGCAAUGGGCGAAAGCUUGACGGAGCAACGCCGCGUGAGUGAUGAAGGUCUUCGGAUCGUAAAACUCUGUUAUUAGGGAAGAACAAAUGUGUAAGUAACUAUGCACGUCUUGACGGUACCUAAUCAGAAAGCCACGGCUAACUACGUG
rnacentral:rRNA from 1 species